rnacentral:rRNA from 1 species
UACGUAGGGUGCAAGCGUUAAUCGGAAUUACUGGGCGUAAAGCGUGCGCAGGCGGUUCUAUAGGACAGAUGUGAAAUCCCCGGGCUCAACCUGGGAACUGCAUUUGUGACUGUAGAGCUGGAGUGCGGCAGAGGGGGAUGGAAUUCCGCGUGUAGCAGUGAAAUGCGUAGAUAUGCGGAGGAACACCGAUGGCGAAGGCAAUCCCCUGGACCUGUACUGACGCUCAUGCACGAAAGCGUGGGGAGCAAACAGG